UUAUUUUCCGCGCCCUAGUGUACCAUACCACCACCCCCUGCCCAUUCAUCAUAUAUUUUGUGGCGGUGGGUCAGUUCAUCAAAAGACCCAAAACAAGAACCAAACUUAAAUUUCAGUUCUAGCGGCCAGCAAUACUAGAACACACACACGCAAAGUACGUAAGAAUGCGUGUGUACCCAUACUUUGAAAUAUUCUGGAGGCACAACAGAAAACAGAAAUUACCCUCUAGUAUUGUCUGUGGCGAUUGACCAUGCCCGAACUACUGAUUUGGCUGGUUCCUACAUGGGUACUUACCGGACUAACCCUAUGGCAAACGAACGCCGAACCACUCAAAGAAGAAACAAAAAGGUUGCUCUGUAUACUCUACAACCCACCGCGCACCAGCCAUCGAACUAGUUCGGUUGGCAUGCAACGUCUCAACAGUAGACGAAGAAACGAAAAAGCAUGAGAGGAAAAUGAAGAGAGCAGGUAGCUAAAAGUUAUGCUGAUCUGCUCUUCUCCUUUCCCUUAUCUGUUUUCGUUUGUGCGUUUGUGCAAAUCAGUGCGGCUGUCCAAGUGAUUAUAAUUAUUGAAUUUUAAAUAAUAAGUCAAAGCAGCCAAACAUAAUUGUGUUAGCGGAGAAACAGUGUCGUGCAGGGAAAUAGAAAAAGUUGAAGGCCGCGAAAUAGCAGAGACAAUCGACGAAAAUGAAAAAAUGGAAAGUGACACUGAAAAAUUUAAAGAACUUCUUUGGAGUUUUGAUUGAUGCCAUAACUGUAGAUACGGGGACUGGAUCAGCUGAAGUCCAGCUUAGGAAUGCCCUACAGUUGCAAAAGAAACGUUUUUUCAAAACAGUACCACCGCGAACAGCAGACCUUAAUUAUUAAAUUUAUAAAAUAAAAUAAAAAUUUAAAUAUGAAAUGAAA